rnacentral:lncRNA from 1 species
AGUAUUGGAAUCAAUGUCUGUCGCCUGUUCAUUCUGCCUUGUUUCAUCCGUCUCAGUUAUGUCACCAGGGUGAACCACCAAGUCUAUCCAGUUAUUUGAACCCCUGUUUAUCUGCAUGCCAAAAUGGUUUGGAUGAAUAUGGUUGUAAUGGAACAAAAGAUCAUCUGUAGCUACCUUUCAGGAAGAAAAAAAAGCAGAAUUUUGGUGAAAAUCCUUCCAGUGCCUUCCACAUCUCAGCAUAAUAAGCCAUUCGGUACAGUUGAUGUAUGCAGUGUUGUAGCACUGUCAGCUCUAGGAUAUUAGAGAGACGAGGUGGGUGAAGUAAUAUCUUUUACUGGACCAACUUCUGUUGGUGAGAAAGACAAUCUUUUGAGCUUAUCCGGAGCUCUUUUCAGGUCUGGGAAAUGUACUCAGAGUGUCACAGCUAAAUACAAAGUUUAGCAUAAGUAGUU